ensembl:lncRNA
GAUGUACAAGUCAGGAUGACCUGAAUUAGAGCCCAAACCCGUCCCGUCGAGGUGGUUGGCAGCCUCAAUAAUUCUGAGAAGCUUUUCUGGGAGCCAUAUUUAUUUAUUUAAUAUAGACUUAAAUGGCAUUCCUUAAACCACUACUUUACCAGGCCAUCAGUGCAUGUUACGCUUAAAAUCAGUGCGUCCUACCGCCGCCUGGUGGCAAAACAUACAAAUCGCAACACGCAUUUGCAGAUCUCUGCUGCGGUUGAACUGUAGUAAAAUUCACGUGUAAAAAGAGUGUGAAUUGAGAGGCCUGUCUGAAUUGUAACUGAUGACUUGUCGGUAUAAGCAUUUACAGAUUUGUCUACACAUUCACAGAUAUAUGUACCCAUUUACAGAUUUGUCUACACAUUCACAGAUAUAUGUACCCAUUUACAGAUUUGUCUAUGCAUUUACAGAUUUGUCCAUACAUUAACAUAAUCUGAAUACACAUUUGCAGAUUCCUGUACACAUUCACAAAAUCAGUAUGCAUUUACAGAUUAAUUUACACAUUUACAAAUCUGAUUACACACACACAGAUUGAGAUACAGUUACACAACUCUCCACACACAUUUGUAAAUUGUUUUGCUACAAUAAUGCCCCCAUAAUCAGGGAGCUGUCUGUGGUGUUAAACAUCUCUCACAGCACCUCAUUUCACUAGGCACCAUGUUUAUACAGACAAAAACAUUUAUUUUCAAUGAAAAAACCCUACUUACUGCACGUUUAAUAAAAGAACUGUAAACCCUCCCCAAGACUACAUUUGAAAAAGCAGGCUGUCAAAGAACUUUCAAUGCCGAAUGACUUGCUGAGUGACUGACUACAGGGGCCCUUGUUAAAUAGCGUAGUGGUUAAAGACACGGACUGCCAUACAGGGGAUCGGAGAUCAAGCUUUGCCAUAGUCAAAACUAAUAAUUAAUUAGGAUUUGUUCAGGACAGACCAAAACUAUGCUGGCUUGAACCAGCAGUAUCUAUGUUAUAGUAAGCCUAAAAUAAAACUCUUUAUGGUCAAAUUGCGACUAUUUCUGUUGGAUUUUCAAAGAACGCAUCUGUGCAUGCUUUUUUGGGUAAUACAGAUCACAACCCAUUUGGCAGCAAAAUAGGUGUUUCCACAAUUCUCUUGUCUUUUCACUUGACAAAAAAGUCAGUUAUCGUCACCUAUAUUGAUAGUUUUUGUAUCCAUGUUAUUCUUGAAUGAAAGAAAAAAUAACGUUGUUGUGCCAUGAAUUUAAAUAGCUUGGCAGAGUAAAGAUAAUCUUCAGUCCUCUAGCAAUUGCUCAAUUCUUAUGACUAUUCCAAGUAGUAAAUUAGUAGAUACUAGUAAGCCUAUUACUAUAUAAUAAGCUUUUAAAACGGCCAGUGCCAAAAGCCACACAGUUCAUGGAUGCUGUUUGUGGUGGAAGUGAACUUAAGGAGAAAUAAUAAUCAGUUUAACACAGUGCUUAAUGGUGUCUAGUUAAAUAUUUAAACUUGGUGUGAUGUUAAUGCAUGACAAAAUGAUCUGAUGUUGGGUCAGAGGUUCUCUAGGAUCAGGUAAACGGUCAGUGUCAGAGGAUCUCUAGGCCCAGGUAAACAGUCAGUGGAUCUCUAGGAUCAGGUAAACAGUCAGAGGAUCUCUAGGACCAGGUAAACAGUCAGAGGAUCUCUAGGACCAGGUAAACGGUCAGUGUCAGAGGAUCUCUAGGACCAGGUAAACGGUCAGUGUCAGAGGAUCUCUAGGACCAGGUAAACAGUCAGUGGAUCUCUAGGACCAGGUAAACGGUUAGUAUCAGAGGAUCUCUAGGACCAGGUAAACGGUCAGAGGAUCUCUAGGACCAGGUAAACAGUCAGAGGAACUCUAGGACCAGGUAAACAGUCAGAGGAUCUCUAGGACCAGGUAAACAGUCAGAGGAUCUCUAGGACCAGGUAAACAGUCAGAGGAACUCUAGGACCAGGUAAACAGUCAGAGGAACUCUAGGACCAGGUAAACAGUCUGUGUCAGUGGUUCUCUAGGACCAGGUAAACAGUCAGAGGAUCUUUAGGACCAGGUAAACAGUCAGAGGAUCUUUAGGACCAGGUAAACAGUCAGAGGAUCUCUAGGACCAGGUGAACGGUCAGUGGAUCUCUAGGACCAGGUAAACAGUCAGUGUCAGAGGAUCUCUAGGACCAAUCAAGUGAACCAAGUUUGUUGUAAUCAGACUUUGAACCAACAAACCAGGUUUUUUCAUACCUUCAGAACAGAACCUAGUGUAGUCUUUUACAUCUAUAGUCUUUCAGUUCAUAAUAAUAUAAUAUUCAAUACUACUACCAAUAUUGCUGAUAGUUCAAUCAAUCAAAUGUUUUUAUAAAGCCCUUUUUACAUCAGCAGUUGUAACAAAGUGCUUUAACAAAACACCCAGCCUUAAACCCCAAGGAGCAAACAACAGUAGUGUUGAAUUUCAGUGGCUAGGAAAAACUCCCUAAGAAGGCCGAAAUUUAGGAAGAAACCUACAGAGGACCCAGGCUCAGUUGGGUGACCAGUCCUCUUCUGGCUGUGCUGGUUGAACAUAUUAAGAGUACAAAUUGUAAUAAUUAAUAAAUGCAUGUGGGCUAAAUCACCCUCUGAGUUUUGUCAGCAACACAUCACAAAAGGUACUCCAAGCAUGUAUGUGGGGUGGGGAUUUGGAGCUUGCAUUAUUAAGUAGUACGACAUUCAAUGUGCCAGUGUAAUGGAGUUAAUACUGUUCUUCCGCGGUUACAGAAGGGGCUAUCCAAUUGGUACCUUUUGUAUAGUUCAGACAGUCUGUUGUCAAGGAGAACGGUCUUGUGUUGUGUAGCAAAGAACUACUGGUUUCAAUUGUCAGUGGAGGAAGGUAGCAGUAGUAUGUCGACUUAUUAGGACUGGUGUGUACUGGCCCAAUUCAAUCACUCAUUAUGUUAAUAUUCACUGUUCCUGCUUUUGGUAUCCACAUAUCACAUUAUUCCUGUAAGUCAACAGCCACUUUUUCCAUUCAGCAGAAUGAUAAUCAUGCACAGGUCAUUCCUUCAUAUCCUUGUUCUGCAAACUGUAAAGAAUGAGAGUAACAGGAUCUACGCACGCUUCCACAGGGACAACG